UGUCAGGGUGAGAUGCCUUGCUUUCUGAAGAUACCCACCUUCCUGCUGGGAGUGACGUCUCAAAGUGCUGUCCUUUGAAUCUGAAAAUGAGAAAGUGAUUUUUUCAACGUUCAUGUAAAGGCCCAUCCAGGCUAUUGCAAAAGAAAAUAUUGACAACCAUAAAGAAUAAGAGCAGCUACCAAUGACUGAUUGCUUACCAUGUCUGAAGACAGUUACCGAGAAAUUUCUUUACAUGUAUGAAUCUUCACAAGAAUCCUGUCAGGUAGGCACUGUUUUUAUCCUCAUAUUAUAAACAGAGAAACUGAGGCACAGAGAAACUGAGGCACAGAGAAACACCUUGGAGGACCGUCUUAGUGCAAAUUGGUUUCAACUUUUUUGACACAGGUAUUAAAAUGCCACCCAAAUACCAGUAAGUUACCUUCUUACUAUCACGUAAUUAAUGAAAGCAGAGGGAUCAGGUUUGAACAGGAACCCUAUGCUUCUAAUCAUGACACAAGCUACCCCUAAAAAAUAAAGUCAGAUUAAUAAAGAAAAAAAUGACC